rnacentral:rRNA from 1 species
GAUGAACGCUGGCGGCGUGCCUAAUACAUGCAAGUCGAGCGAACAGACGAAGAGCUUGCUCCUCUGACGUUAGCGGCGCACGGGUGAGUAACACGUGUAUAACCUACCUAUAAGACUGGGAUAACUUCGGGAAUCCGGAGCUAAUACCGGAUAAUAUAUUGAACCGCAUGGUUCGAUAGUGAAAGACGGUUUUGCUGUAACUUAUAGAUGGAUCUCCGCCGCAUUAGCUAGUUGGUAAGGUAACGGCUUACGAAGGCAACGAGGCGUAGACGACCUGAGAGGGUGAUAGGCCGCACUGGAGCUGGACCACGGUCCAGACUCCUACGGGAGGCAGCAGUAGGGAAUCUUCCGCAGUGGGCGAAAGCCUGGCGGAGCAACGCCGCGUGAGUGAUGAAGAUCUUCGGUUCGUGAAACUCUGUUAUGAGGGAAGAACAAAUGUGUAAGGAAAUGUGCACGUAUUGACGGUACCGAAUCAGAAAGCCACGGCUAACUACGUG